UGCAUUUAAGUUUUAACUGAAAAUUGUUUUUAAAUAUUUUGUAUUAAGAAUAAAGUUGUUCAGAUAGUUAUUGUUUGAUUGUUUCCGUUACUGACUUAUUCAUUAUUUUCCAAAUACUCGUUAUCAUAUACAGAUUUUCGUUCUAAUUAUGAUUGCAAUACAGCAGACAAUGAAAGCCAUGGUGAGACAUGAAUUCGCGAUUAUAUCAGUUUGGAAAAUAUAAACAUCCUAUGAUGAAAAUGGACUAGAAGAUACUGAUAAUAAUAAUUGUUUUAUUCAACGUACGUGUAGAGCUUAUAAUAGAAUAUAAUUUAUAGAAAAUUAAUAGUUAUGUAACAAAAUGUUAAUGUCAUGAAAUCCUGACAAUAGGACUAAAUGGCAAUACAGCAGAUGACUCAAGGAAUGCUGAGACAUUUAUUUGUAUGCAUACAACUUUGGGAAAGUAUGAACAUCCAAUGUUGAAAAUGAACUAAAAGAUACUGAUUAUAAAGAAUUUAUGCAAUGUACGUGUAAUGGUUAUUAGAUGCAAAUACAGCAGAUCAUUAAAGGGAUGCUGAAACAUUAUUUGGUAUUCAAACAACUCUGGAAAAGUAUGAACAUCCAAUUUUGAAAAUGAACUAACGAAUACUGAUUAUAAUGAAUUUAUGCAAUUUACAUAUUGCAAUACAGCAGACAAUGAAAGCCAUGGUGAGACAUGAAUUCGCGAUUAUAUCAGUUUGGAAAAUAUAAACAUCCUAUGAUGAAAAUGGACUAGAAGAUACUGAUAAUAAUAAUUGUUUUAUUCAACAUGGCAAUACAGCAGAUGACUCAAGGAAUGCUGAGACAUUUAUUUGUAUGCAUACAACUUUGGGAAUGUAUGAACAUCCAAUGUUGAAAAUGAACUAAAAGAUACUGAUUAUAAAGAAUUUAUGCAAUGUACGUGUAAUGGUUAUUAGAUGCAAAUACAGCAGAUCAUUAAAGGGAUGCUGAAACAUUAUUUGGUAUUCAAACAACUCUGGAAAAGUAUGAACAUCCAAUUUUGAAAAUGAACUAACGAAUACUGAUUAUAAUGAAUUUAUGCAAUUUACAUAUUGCAAUACAGCAGACAAUGAAAGCCAUGGUGAGACAUGAAUUCGCGAUUAUAUCAGUUUGGAAAAUAUAAACAUCCUAUGAUGAAAAUGGACUAGAAGAUACUGAUAAUAAUAAUUGUUUUAUUCAACAUGGCAAUACAGCAGAUGACUCAAGGAAUGCUGAGACAUUUAUUUGUAUGCAUACAACUUUGGGAAUGUAUGAACAUCCAAUGUUGAAAAUGAACUAAAAGAUACUGAUUAUAAAGAAUUUAUGCAAUGUACGUGUAAUGGUUAUUAGAUGCAAAUACAGCAGAUCAUUAAAGGGAUGCUGAAACAUUAUUUGGUAUUCAAACAACUCUGGAAAAGUAUGAACAUCCAAUUUUGAAAAUGAACUAACGAAUACUGAUUAUAAUGAAUUUAUGCAAUUUACAUAUUGCAAUACAGCAGACAAUGAAAGCCAUGGUGAGACAUGAAUUCGCGAUUAUAUCAGUUUGGAAAAUAUAAACAUCCUAUGAUGAAAAUGGACUAGAAGAUACUGAUAAUAAUAAUUGUUUUAUUCAACAUGGCAAUACAGCAGAUGACUCAAGGAAUGCUGAGACAUUUAUUUGUAUGCAUACAACUUUGGGAAUGUAUGAACAUCCAAUGUUGAAAAUGAACUAAAAGAUACUGAUUAUAAAGAAUUUAUGCAAUAUGCAAAUACAGCAGAUCAUUAAAGGGAUGCUGAAACAUUAUUUGGUAUUCAAACAACUCUGGAAAAGUAUGAACAUCCAAUUUUGAAAAUGAACUAACGAAUACUGAUUAUAAUGAAUUUAUGCAAUUUACAUAUUGCAAUACAGCAGACAAUGAAAGCCAUGGUGAGACAUGAAUUCGCGAUUAUAUCAGUUUGGAAAAUAUAAACAUCCUAUGAUGAAAAUGGACUAGAAGAUACUGAUAAUAAUAAUUGUUUUAUUCAACAUGGCAAUACAGCAGAUGACUCAAGGAAUGCUGAGACAUUUAUUUGUAUGCAUACAACUUUGGGAAUGUAUGAACAUCCAAUGUUGAAAAUGAACUAAAAGAUACUGAUUAUAAAGAAUUUAUGCAAUGUACGUGUAAUGGUUAUUAGAUGGCAGUAUAUCAGAUCAAUCAAGGCACGCUGAGACACGAAUUCACAUUUCUACCACCAAGGAAAGAAUCAACAUGCUAUGUUGAAAAUGGACUAGAAGAUACUGAUAAUAAUAUUGGAUUUAUGCAAUAUGGCAGUACAGCAGAUCAUUCAAUACACGCUGAGACAUGAAUUCACAUUUCUACCUCUAUGCUAAAUAUCAAUAUCCUACGUUGAAAAUGUACUUGACGAUACUGCUAAUAAUAAUGGUUUUGUGCAACGUGCGUGUAAUGGAUGGCAGUACAGCAGAUCACUCAAUACAUGCUGAGACAUGAAUUCACAUUUCUACCACUAUGCAAAAUAUCAACAUCCUACGUUGAAAAUGUACUAGACGAUACUGCUAAUAAUAAGGGUUUUGUGCAACGUGCGUGUAAUGGAUGGCAGUACUGCAGAUCACCGGAGGCAUGCUGAGACAUGAAUUAGCAUUUCUAUCACUAGGGAAAGUUACAACAUUUUCCGUUGAAAAUGGAAUAGAAGAUGGCAGUAUAUCAGAUCAAUCAAGGCACGCUGAGACACGAAUUCACAUUUCUACCACCAAGGAAAGAAUCAACAUGCUAUGUUGAAAAUGGACUAGAAGAUACUGAUAAUAAUAUUGGAUUUAUGCAAUGUGCGUGCAAUGGUUAUUGAAUAUAAUUGAUUCUAAAUUAAUAGCUGUGAAACAUUUGAGAUUUGUUAAAUAUCUGAAUAAAAUAAUA